UGGGCGUUAAGUUGCAGGGUAUAGACCCGAAACCCGGUGAUCUAGCCAUGGGCAGGUUGAAGGUUGGGUAACACUAACUGGAGGACCGAACCGACUAAUGUUGAAAAAUUAGCGGAUGACCUGUGGCUGGGGGUGAAAGGCCAAUCAAACCGGGAGAUAGCUGGUUCUCCCCGAAAGCUAUUUAGGUAGCGCCUCGUGAACUCAUCUCCGGGGGUAGAGCACUGUUUCGGCUAGGGGGCCAUCCCGGCUUACCAACCCGAUGCAAACUGCGAAUACCGGAGAAUGUUAUCACGGGAGACACACGGCGGGUGCUAACGUCCGUCGUGAAGAGGGAAACAACCCAGACCGCCAGCUAAGGUCCCAAAGUCAUGGUUAAGUGGGAAACGAUGUGGGAAGGCCCAGACAGCCAGGAUGUUGGCUUAGAAGCAGCCAUCAUUUAAAGAAAGCGUAAUAGCUCACUGGUCGAGUCGGCCUGCGCGGAAGAUGUAACGGGGCUAAACCAUGCACCGAAGCUGCGGCAGCGACACUUUAGUGUUGUUGGGUAGGGGAGCGUUCUGUAAGCCGUUGAAGGUGUCC
rnacentral:rRNA from 1 species